GUCCAUUCCUCUUCUCUCCUUUCUCAAUCUCUCACUCUCUCUUACUAAAUCAUGGAUCUUCUCUCCCUAAAAUCCACUGUUUUAGUCUUAAAAAAGCAUGGUAGGAACUACCUCCUUGGGUUAAAAUUUGACUAUCUGCAGCUUCAAGGCUUUUAGUUUUUGAGAUUGUUACCCUUCUAGAAGAAAAGAAGAAAGAUUUUCAGG
rnacentral:misc_RNA from 1 species